rnacentral:snRNA from 1 species
GUUUGCUUUGGCAGAACCAUACUACAGUGAGAACAAUAUAGGGAAUAUUAGCAUGGUCCCUGUGCAAAGAUAACAUACAAAUUCAGGAAGUGUUUCAUAUUUUU